GUAAUUUCAAUUCAAUUAGAUUCGAGUGAUAUUACAAAGAAAUUGCCUACUGUUUGUUUGUUGCAAAAUGCAAAAUUCCAUUCCUGGUAUCUUGAGUUUACAGAAAGAAGAUGCUGUUUACCUCGACCGUAGUUCUCGGCCUACUCAACCACAGCUUUGAAGCAAGACAGCCUCGAUCAUCUAUCUGGAUUCCGGUCCGUGCCUGCAUCUCCAAGAUCAGUCCUUCAUUGUGUGCUACCUUUUACUUCUUCCACUAUGUACAGUACCUCAAGCUGCGUUCUUCAACCGUCACGGUUCCAUGCUCUUGGAUGAUGAUGAUAUAAGGGGCCCUUGAAGUCUUUGGAGAACCUCUCCAAUCUCUGAUAGUGAGGUUGUACGUACGUAUGAAGUAUGAACGUCUUGGAUGGGAAGAGAUGGGGGAGGGGAUAUCGGGUUCUAGCUUGGGUUAUGGGCACUUCCUAAAAACGUGUUGUGUUGUUCAUCAAUGCGUUGGAGUUCCGUUAAAUUGGCCUAAGCCUGAACUAGAGGGUUCUUCUUCUAAUGAGGCUCGCGUCAGUUCGCUAUAACUACUAGUGCUUCUUUAGAAAGGACUCGAGUCCGGACUAUUCUAGAAAAAGGUAUUAUUUUUUCCUUAGAAUUUCGCAAGACGAGUCUUUUUGCAAGACCUAGCUCUGGUGAAAGACUCGAGUCCGGCAGGGGACUCUAGUCUUUUACUAGACUUGAGUCUGGGCCGAAUCCGGCAAAAAGUAAAAAAAAAUCAAAGGACUCGUACGAGUCUGACUUUUGCAGGGCUCGCCUAAGCACUAAAUACAAAGUAUCGUAAUUUAUAGCUCAAUCUAACAACUGGAUCAAAUGUGUGCCCUCUCAAAGUUCACAACACAACCCUUUUAGCCAUGUGAAGUAAUGGAAAUGCUAGGAAAAAUGUGGUGCGGCACCCUGAUUUUGGAAAUUUUGUAGAGGGAACUUACACUAACAUCACAGCCAACUCGCACCAUGAUCCAGCUGAAUAUUCAAUUAUCAAGUUGUGUUACAAAUCUCCAAUAAAUAGGAUGUUUGGUGAAAUUCUGUCACUGUACUAAUAUCUUGCCAUAGAUUGACGUCAGCUGUUGGUUUUACCUUCACUUCUCAUGGGGAACACAGAGAGAAUGAUUAUCUGUAGAGUACUAAAUCAUUCAUUCUGUGCACUUUUAUGUAUUAGACUUUGAGAGAGCGUAACUUUUGAUCCAGUCAUUUGUUUGAGAAGAAAUUUGGAAAAAAAUAAUUGCAGCGCUAUUACUUUGAGAAGAUCCAAUAAAUUGACUCAAAUUGGAGUUGUUCAUUUGCAACCUUCCUAACAGUGGUUCAUUGUCUGAGAUAGGUUCAGAAAGCAUAUCUCGUUUAUCUGAAUAGAUAGAUCUGCCCUUGAAUUGAAACUCAAUUGGUGAUGCUAUGAUUUGAAGGAAAGGAGAGCAAAGCUUAGAACUUGUAAUUGACAGCAAGAUUUGGGUCUGUGCCAAUUGUCUCUUCUCUGGAAUAUCGUUGGGGUGAAUGGCUGGAAUUAAAGACUAUUCACCUCUUACAUAUCUUGACGAACAACUGCUUGAUUUGGAACUAAAUUCCACUGAAUCGUAAAAUGUGCCCAUUGUUAAAUAGGUUAUUGGCAAUGGAAGCCAAACUUACCGAAGUAAAAUGAUCCCUUGAUUGAAAGUAAAACAGUUAACGGAAUAUGAACAAACGUCACGGAAUGUCUGACUUUUAACAUACGAUUUUCGUACAAAACCUCCUCGUUUAGGAAAAGAUCGUCAUUCACUUGGCAUCGCACAUUUUUCCUCUACUGCUAGCUUUCUUGAGUAAAUAUCACCCUAUUUGCACCAAGGCUUUCUUAUAAAGCGAAGCUCUUUGUUUGUGGAAGUUUUCAAAUGAAAUUCUAUCUGAGUGCGAUAGAAAAACUAAAGUCCGAGAGGACUUUUAAGAUAAAUGAUACGCAAUGGUGCCGUUUGGGAUCGGUUACCAAAAGUAUGCCUCCAGUGAGAGUCGAACUCACGACCCCUGGUUUACGAGACCAGUGCUCUGCCACUGAGCUAUAGAGGCCCGCUUGAGAGGAAGGGAAAAAUUUAUUAUUCCAAUCCAUACAUUUAUUUCUUCUUUCAGACCGUGCAAUUUCUUUGUUCCACCUGAACUUGAGCAUAUGCUUAAAAGCUAUUUCAUCAUGCAACUUCAUCCUCUGAUUUAAUGUACUACAUAGAAUGAAAAAGAUUUGUCUCGAACUCUCGGCCAUGUUCCUUGCUCUAAGGAACUUGCUUUCUCUGUAAAGUGAUGUAAGAAUACAUUCCUCGUUCAAAACGA